AUCUUUAUGCAGGGGCAUUACGUGUAUCAGUGAGGAUUCAGUCCGAGAUCAUGUUUUUGCUGGUUGAAAACUAUAAACCUGACAACUUCUGGAUAUUACAUUUGUGAUAUUUAGAGAAUUUUUGGAACUGUUUUACAUUG
rnacentral:snRNA from 1 species